GCGUUGUUACAGGUUGCUGCAUGGCUGUCGUCAGCUCGUGUCGUGAGAUGUUCGGUUAAGUCCGCUAACGAGCGCAACCCUCGCUGUGUGUUACAAGUGUCACACGGAACUGCCGGUCAUAAACCGGAGGAAGGUGGGGAUGACGUCAAGUCAGCAUGGCCUUUAUAUCCUGGGCUACACACACGCUACAAUGGGAAGGGACAAUAGGUUGCGAAGCCGCGAGGCGGAGCCAAUCCAGCAAAACUUCCCUCAGUUCAGAUUGCAGGCUGCAACCCGCCUGCAUGAAGUUGGAGUUGCUAGUAAACGCAGGUCAGCCAUACUGCGUUGAAUACGUUCCCGGGGCUU
rnacentral:rRNA from 1 species